UACGAAGGGGGCUAGCGUUGCUCGGAAUGACUGGGCGUAAAGGGCUCGUAGGCGGCCAACUAAGUCAGAUGUGAAAUCCCCAGGCUUAACCUGGGAACUGCAUCUGAUACUGGAUGGCUUGAAUCCGGGAGAGGGAUGCAGAAUUCCAGGUGUAGCGGUGAAAUGCGUAGAUAUCUGGAGGAAUACCGGUGGCGAAGGCGGCAUCCUGGACCGGCAUUGACGCUGAGGAGCGAAAGCUAGGGGAGCAAACGGG
rnacentral:rRNA from 1 species